rnacentral:rRNA from 1 species
UGAGGAAUAUUGGGCAAUGGGGGAAACCCUGACCCAGCCAUGCCGCGUGAAUGAUGAAGGCCUUAGGGUUGUAAAGUUCUUUCGCCGAUGAAGAUAAUGACGGUAGUCGGAGAAGAAGCCCCGGCUAACUUCGUGCCAGCAGCCGCGGUAAUACGAAGGGGGCUAGCGUUGUUCGGAAUCACUGGGCGUAAAGCGCGCGUAGGCGGAAUGGUAAGUCAGAUGUGAAAUCCCGGGGCCUAACCUCGGAACUGCAUUUGAAACUAUCAUUCUAGAGACUCGGAGGGGGUAGCGGAAUUCCAAAUGUAGGGGUGAAAUCCGUAGAUAUUUGGAGGAACACCGGUGGCGAAGGCGGCUACCUGGACGAGUACUGACGCUGAGGCGCGAAAGCGUGGGGAGCAAA